rnacentral:snRNA from 1 species
AUCGCUUCUUGGCCUUUUGGCUAAGAUCAAGUGUAGUAUCUCCUUAUUUAAAAUAUUAAUUACUAAAUAAUCGAAUCAUAACUACU